CCAGAUCACCAGUUAAGGUCCCUAAAUAUAUGCUAAGUGGAAAAGGAUGUGGAGUUGCAUAGACAACUAGGAUGUUGGCUCAGAAGCAGCCACCAUUUAAAGAGUGCGUAAUAGCUCACUAGUCGAGUGAUCCUGCGCCGAAAAUGUACCGGGGCUUAAACAUAUUACCGAGACUGUGGAUGCCACCAUUAGGUGGCGUGAUAGGAGAGCGUUCUAAGGGCGACGAAGGCAGACCGUGAGGACUGUUGGAGCGCUUAGAAGUGAGAAUGCCGGUAUGAGUAGCGAAAGAUAGGUGAGAAUCCUAUCCACCGUAUGACUAAGGUUUCCUGGGGAAGGCUCGUCCUCCCAGGGUAAGUCGGGACCUAAGCCGAGGCCGAGAGGCGUAGGCGAUGGAUAACAGGUUGAGAUUCCUGUACUAGUUAAACUUGUUUGAACAAUGGAGGGACGCAGGAGGCUAAGGAAUGCACCCGAUUGGAAGUGGGUGUCCAAGCCGUAAGUCUGAAGUCGAGUCAAAUGCUUGAUUUCUUAAGGACAAGCGGUGAUGGGGAGUGAAAUUUAAGUAACGAAGUUCCUGACGUCACGCUGCCGAGAAAAG
rnacentral:rRNA from 2 species